rnacentral:tRNA from 1 species
CAUUAGAUGACUGAAAGCAAGUAUUGAUCUCUUAAAUCACUUAAUAAUAAAGUAGCGAUUAUUUCUAAUG